rnacentral:rRNA from 1 species
GAUGAACGCUGGCGGCGUGCCUAAUACAUGCAAGUCGAGCGAACAGACGAGGAGCUUGCUCCUCUGACGUUAGCGGCGGACGGGUGAGUAACACGUGGAUAACCUACCUAUAAGACUGGGAUAACUUCGGGAAACCGGCGCUAAUACCGGAUAAUAUAUUGAACCGCAUGGUUCAAUAGUGAAAGACGGUUUUGCUGUCACUUAUAGAUGGAUCCGCGCCGCAUUAGCUAGUUGGUAAGGUAACGGCUUACCAAGGCGACCAUGCGUAGCCGACCUGAGAGAGUGAUAGGCGACACUGGAACUGAGACAGGGUCCAGACGCCUAAGGGAGGGAGCAGAAGGGAAUCGGCCGCAAUGGGCGAAAGCCUGACGGAGCAACGCCGCGUGAGUGAUGAAGGUCUUGGGAGCGUAAAACUCUGUUAUUAGGGAAGAACAAAUGUGUAAGUAACUAUGCACGUCUUGACGGUACCUAAUCAGAAAGCCACGGCUAACUACGUG